rnacentral:rRNA from 1 species
UACGAAGGGGGCUAGCGUUGCUCGGAAUCACUGGGCGUAAAGCGCACGUAGGCGGCUUUCUAAGUCAGGGGUGAAAUCCUGGAGCUCAACUCCAGAACUGCCUUUGAUACUGAAGAUCUUGAGUUCGGGAGAGGUGAGUGGAACUGCGAGUGUAGAGGUGAAAUUCGUAGAUAUUCGCAAGAACACCAGUGGCGAAGGCGGCUCGCUGGCCCGAUACUGACGCUGAGGCACGAAGGUCAGGGGAGCAAACGGG